rnacentral:rRNA from 1 species
GAUGAACGCUGGCGGCGUGCCUAAUACAUGCAAGUCGAGCGAACAGACGAGGAGCUUGCUCCUCUGACGUUAGCGGCGGACGGGUGAGUAACACGUGGAUAACCUACCUAUAAGACUGGGAUAACUUCGGGAAACCGGAGCUAAUACCGGAUAAUAUAUUGAACCGCAUGGUUCAAUAGUGAAAGACGGUUUUGCUGUCACUUAUAGAUGGAUCCGCGCCGCAUUAUCUAGUUGGUAAGGUAACGGCUUACCAAGGCAACGAUGCGUAGCCGACCUGAGAGGGGGAUCGGCAACACUGGAACUGAGAAACGGUCCAGACUCCUACGGGAGGCAGCAGUAGGGAAUCUUCCGCAAUGGGCGAAAGCCUGACGGAGCAACGCCGCGUGAGUGAUGAAGGUCUUCGGAUCGUAAAACUCUGUUAUUAGGGAAGAACAAAUGUGUAAGUAACUAUGCACGUCUUGACGGUACCUAAUCAGAAAGCCACGGCUAACUACGU